rnacentral:misc_RNA from 1 species
CUGAGUUACCGCUCAUCAACCCUUUGUGAACAUACCUUAACUGUCGCUUCGGCGGGUAGGCGUCCCCUAAAAAGGACGUCUCCCGGCCCUCUCCCGUCCGCGGGUGGGGCGCCCGCCGGAGGAUAACCAAACUCUGAUUUAACGACGUUUCUUCUGAGUGACACAAGCAAAUAAUCA